rnacentral:sRNA from 1 species
ACAUCGUACGUUUUCUCUAAAAUAUUGUGGCAUGUGAAAAAUUGUGAAAAAGUUAUUGUGAAAAAGUUGUGAAAAAUUUCUUAAAUUUAAUAAAUUUUGUGAAAGAAACUAGGAAAGGUGCUCCACCAGGCCACUGAAGAACACUUGAACGUGUGAAAUCCUGGCGAAUGCUGGUGCAUCCGCGGAAGCUUACCUGUGCAGGGUAUGACAACUACGAGAGUAACGAGAUUAACAAGCUGCAACUACUAGGCGAGGCAACCAGUCAGACCAGGCGAGGAAAAUCUAGAGUCGAGGCAGGAGACUUGGAUUGACAAGCGACCCAGGCGCAUUAUAAAACUUGAGUACCAUGGACCACCCUGCAAUUGAAAUCGGCUCAAUUGUGUGUAGGCUCCACGGUUCAGCAACAUCAGGGAAUCCGAUUCCGAUCAGAUGGAGUCCCACAUCCAUGUCCAAUCAUCCACUGAAAAUGGGGGGCGGCCCCGGAAGCUGUUCGCUUUUUCAUUUGUGGCAAGAAAAAAUGGCGUUUGUGGCUUGGGCCUGGUCUAACACCCAGCACUCAAGCCAAAACCGCAAAAACAACAAGGCAUUUGAUGGUCAAAUAUACCUCUACCGCAUACAACUGCCAUGAAUCACCAUCACCUGGCUGAAUGGAACGGAACGGAUCGGAUGGGAUCAGUGGUGUUCUGGUUUGGGUAGUGGCUUCGCCUCCGGCAGAGGAGGAACAUCCAUCAAUGUGCCGUUGACAUUUGCUUGGACCGCUGACAAGAAUUGUCACAAUAAACAAUACAACCACGACGACAACGACAACAACAAGAAUAAUUCAGGCAGCGAAGAGGACACGUGACGUGAUCUGGAAGGGAGACCAAGUUCGGGAUGGGAUUCGGAAAACAGGAGUUGGUAAAGGAAUCAGCCUGAUGAUUAGUUCGAUUCUUUAAGGAUUCGCGGAUUCUUCAAGGAAUUAUUCAAUGAUGUUGGGAAGUAUAUUUUAUUAAAUAUUCUUUAAAUGCUUUCACUAAAAUAUUCUUAAAAGGAGAUCAUAUAUGCGUAGAGUAGUUUUUAGAAUAAGCUUUAGUCUUUUCAGAAAUUAAAAGCAAGGAUUUAAGUGGUGAUUCGAUUUGAUUCAUCUAAUGGAUUUUUGGAAUUUGCUGGAAAUGGACCCAUGGGAGCUACUCUCGAAUGAUGUGUACCUCGAAUCUGUAAAUUCAAUCAAAUUGCAAUUAAAAUGAUGACUAACACAAAUAUGGCUUGAAGUCAUAAAACUGA